UACGUAGGGUGCGAGCGUUAAUCGGAAUUACUGGGCGUAAAGCGUGCGCAGGCGGUUCGUUGUGUCGGUGGUGAAAUCCCCGGGCUUAACCUGGGAAUGGCCAUGGAAACUGGCGAACUGGAGUGCGGCAGAGGGGGGUGGAAUUCCGCGUGUAGCAGUGAAAUGCGUAGAGAUGCGGAGGAACACCGACGGUGUAGACGGCUCUCUGGACCGUAACUGACGCUGAGGCACGAAAGCGUGGGUAGCAAACAGG
rnacentral:rRNA from 1 species